CGUAGGGCGCAAGCGUUAUCCGGAAUUAUUGGGCGUAAAGAGCUCGUAGGCGGUUUGUCGCGUCUGCCGUGAAAGUCCGGGGCUCAACUCCGGAUCUGCGGUGGGUACGGGCAGACUAGAGUGAUGUAGGGGAGACUGGAAUUCCUGGUGUAGCGGUGAAAUGCGCAGAUAUCAGGAGGAACACCGAUGGCGAAGGCAGGUCUCUGGGCAUUAACUGACGCUGAGGAGCGAAAGCAUGGGGAGCGUAACAGGAUUAGAUACCCUGGUAGUCCAUGCCGUAAACGUUGGGCACUAGGUGUGGGGGACAUUCCACGUUUUCCGCGCCGUAGCUAACGCAUUAAGUGCCCCGCCUGGGGAGUACGGCCGCAAGGCUA
rnacentral:rRNA from 1 species